UACGUAGGGGGCGAGCGUUGUCCGGAUUUACUGGGUGUAAAGGGCGUGUAGCCGGGCUGACAAGUCAGAUGUGAAAUCCGGGGGCUCAACCCCCGAACUGCAUUUGAAACUGUUGGUCUUGAGUAUCGGAGAGGCAGGCGGAAUUCCUAGUGUAGCGGUGAAAUGCGUAGAUAUUAGGAGGAACACCAGUGGCGAAGGCGGCCUACUGGACGGUGACUGACGCUGAGGCUCGAAAGCGUGGGGAGCAAACAGG
rnacentral:rRNA from 1 species